AGCGAACGCUGGCGGCAGGCCUAACACAUGCAAGUCGAACGAAGCCUUCGGGCUUAGUGGCGGACGGGUGAGUAACACGUGGGAACGCACCUUUUGGUUCGGAACAACUCAGGGAAACUUGAGCUAAUACCGGAUGAGCCCUUAGGGGGAAAGAUUUAUCGCCGAAAGAGCGGCCCGCGUUAGAUUAGCUGGUUGGUGAGGUAAAGGCUCACCAAGGCAACGAUCUAUAGCUGGUCUGAGAGGAUGAUCAGCCACACUGGGACUGAGACACGGCCCAGACUCCUACGGGAGGCAGCAGUGGGGAAUCUUGCGCAAUGGGCGAAAGCCUGACGCAGCCAUGCCGCGUGAAUGAUGAAGGUCUUAGGAUUGUAAAAUUCUUUUACCAGGGACGAUAAUGACGGUACCUGGAGAAAAAGCCCCGGCUAACUUCGUGCCAGCCGCCGCGGUAAGAC
rnacentral:rRNA from 1 species